CCUUAUACGAAUGAUUAUUGCGAUGAGUGUUCACACAGAUUGAUACGGUUUAAAUGUGAAGAGUAUCUUAGUGUCCCGUUCGUCUAGAGACCUAGGACACCGCCCUUUCACGGCGGUAACAGGGGUUCGACUCCCCUACGGGAUACCACGGGUCGUUAGCUCAGUUGGUAGAGCAGUUGACUUUUAAUCAAUUGGUCGCAGGUUCGAAUCCUGCACGACCCACCAUUCCUUCCAUUAGGAAUUAAAACUCAAGACUGGGGCUAUAGCUCAGCUGGGAGAGCGCCUGCCUUGCACGCAGGAGGUCAGCAGUUCGAUCCUGCUUAGCUCCACCAUUCUUGAAUAAUGGGCGAUUAGCUCAGUUGGGAGAGCACCUGCCUUACAAGCAGGGGGUCACUGGUUCGAACCCGGUAUCGCCCACCAUCUUUAAGCACAUUUGCUUAAGUGUUCUUAAACAUGGUUUUCAUCAGAAAAUCUGCUCUUUAACAAUUUGGAAAGCUGACAAAACAACAAUUUAAUGUUGUUUGUAAAGUUCUCAAUGUAUUCCUGAAUGGAAUACACCAACAAACACAUUCAAGUGUGCUGGUAUCGAAGCUACUGAUCAGUAAGUCUCAAAAUGAAGUCCGGCAAAAUCAAGUCACACACUCCAUGAAAAAAUAAAUGUGUGACACCUAGGUUGUUUAACAACAACCCGAAACUCCUUCGGGUUGUAU
rnacentral:tRNA from 1 species